rnacentral:sRNA from 1 species
UGGUUUUCAAUUUUUGAGCCCUCGUUCAACUUUAGCUUAAAACUGCAUCCGGUAUCUUUCCCUGGUCCAGUUUAUCAAGUCAAAGGAGAUGCUGUUUGCAUGAGUUAUCAUCCUUCUCCCCUGUUACGACUCACUGCUUGGUAUAAUAUUGUUAUCUGCUAUCCAAGUUUCAUGAAAAAGGGGCUGAAAUUACAAUGCAUCUGGUAGCUAGUUACUAGCAUUCCGGCAAGAAAUUGAAGAAAUGAAGUUCAGAAGAGAACACUCUAUAGGUGAUGACGGCAUUGCUAACAACCGUUGAAGUGGGAAUAAUGGAUAUUUGUAGAAUACAUGAAUGAAAUACUAUAUGCAACAUAGGUAUUAUACGCAGG